AUUGAACGCUGGCGGCAUGCCUUACACAUGCAAGUCGAACGGCAGCGGGGGAGAAGCUUGCUUUUCCUGCCGGCGAGUGGCGAACGGGUGAGUAAUACAUCGGAACGUGCCCUGUAGUGGGGGAUAACUAGUCGAAAGAUUAGCUAAUACCGCAUACGACCUGAGGGUGAAAGUGGGGGACCGCAAGGCCUCAUGCUAUAGGAGCGGCCGAUGUCUGAUUAGCUAGUUGGUGGGGUAAAGACCUACCAAGGCGACGAUCAGUAGCUGGUCUGAGAGGACGAUCAGCCACACUGGGACUGAGACACGGCCCAGACUCCAACGGGAGGCAGCAGUGGGGAAUUUUGGACAAUGGGCGAAAGCCUGAUCCAGCAAUGCCGCGUGUGUGAAGAAGGCCUUCGGGUUGUAAAGCACUUUUGUCCGGAAAGAAAUGGCUCUGGUUAAUACCUGGGGUCGAUGACGGUACCGGAAGAAUAAGGACCGGCUAACUACGUGCCAGCCGCCGCGGUAA
rnacentral:rRNA from 1 species